CCCUUUUUUCUCAUCCCUAUCUCUCCUCGCACUCUUUCUCACAGAGCUGCAGGCUAAACUGGCUUUUGUUGAAAGCUUGACCAAGACUUGGACGGCUCUCAGUUGCAGAGUGUCUGCUGGAGAUGAUCAGUCACCCUUUUAUGGAGCACGACGCCAUGUAUAGGUUUAGUUUUUGAAAAGGCACUGUCCCUGUCGACAUCAUGAUUAUAGGAUACAAAAAUCCCAGAUGGGUUUUUUUCACUCUUGGUGCAUUUGUGGGAGACAUUGUGCUCGCAGGGUUCCCUGAGAGAUGCACCAAGGCAGAGACCGCCAUCCUCACUGCCACUGCACACAGUUCAUUUUGUACAGGAGGUGAGCGAAAAUAACACCUCAGCAGUUUACAGUGAAGGGUUACAUUGACUUUUUAUCUGUUGAGGUUUUUAAGGGGACCAUUUCAAUUACUUAGCAAUUAGUUCUUUGUCAAGAUUAUAUCUAAAUUAUUGAGACAACAUGAUAAAUGGGAAAAUUACAUUGUAAAGGAAGUUUUAAAACUGGGUCUUUAAUUCUCUGCUUCUCUCACUCUCCUUUUAGAGGAUGGGGGUUACACUUAGGCUUCAUCGGCCUUGACACGAAGAUGCACAUCAGACUGUAUCACACAUCCGUCUCUUGUGACUGACAUUUUCUAACUGACAGAGUGCAAAAAAAGGGGAAUGUAGGUCUUCUCUUCUAGCUUUUAUUGACCGUCUGUUAUUGCAUUACGUCUGCAUGGGGACAAAAACACAUUUCACAGAGCUUGUUCAUUGAAUGGAGGUCAGAUCAACAUUGUGAUGCAUCAAAACAAGGUAGAGGGAUCUGAAAGCUGACUGGGUUUCAUCACACAGUGUCAAGGUAACUUGUUGCUCACGAUGAAUAUUUUAAAAUCAUGAGGAUGUCUCUCUGUGUAAUUUUUUCAUGCAAAAAUACUAUUUUCAUUUUUGGUCUGAGCUCACCUUAACCUUCCUGUUGUGUUCGAGUCAAAUCUGACCGAUUUAAAACUU